UACCUGAACUAGAAUGUGAGGGAAUGUUGGGUAAUGCCAACAGCCAGUUUACUGGCCCAAAACAAGGUGCUGCAUGGCUGUCGUCAGCUCGUGUCGUGGGAUGUUGGGUUAAGUCCCGCAACGAGCGCAACCCCUAUUGAUAGUUGCCAUCAUUAAGUUGGGAACUCUAUCAAGACCGCCGGUGAUAAAUCGGAGGAAGGUGGGGACGACGUCAAGUCAUCAUGGCCUUUAUGUCCAGGGCUACACACGUGCUACAAUGGCCGGUACAAAACGUCGCGAUCCCGUAAGGGGGAGCUAAUCGCAAAAACCGGUCUCAGUUCGGAUUGAAGUCUGCAACUCGACUUCAUAAAGUUGGAAUCGCUAGUAAUCGCAAAUCAGCAUGUUGCGGUGA
rnacentral:rRNA from 1 species